UUUUCUGUAGAAAAGGUGCUCUUUUCAGCUUCCCUGGACAUGACGAACACAGUGAGUAUGCCAUGGUUACUCAACAAAGGUCACAAUAGAAGGCUGACUCAGUGAAGCCUAGGUUAAGAGAGGACCUGUAUUUUGCUAACAGAACAAAUGUAUAAUCACCUUUCCCUGUUGAUGCUAUUUUUACUUGCACAUAAUUCUUUUCAUUGAGGUGGAUAACUGGAAAAUUCUCCAGUUUAGUAAAGCUACUUCUGCCCCCUGUUCCUUAAAAAGAGGGAACCCAAGAAUCUUUCAUCCCCACAGACAGGCAUUCUCUCUGCUGAAUGAAGUAUUCCUUUGUGGCAGCAUGUUUAUUGCAGUCAUCCAGCCAUGAAGAGCUUCUUCUAGCUUCAGGUGUUAAAAGUGUCCCCCCGUUUUUAGAUCCCCAGCUGGCUUACCUGACUGAGCUGGAGGUGGAAGGCCUGAUAGCAGCUUCCCCCCUUGCCAAGACUCUGUGUGAGAUCAAGCAAGCUUUGGUGAAGCUGCAACAACCUUCAGACCGUUGUAAUCCAGGUUGUCCCUCAACUGGUAUCGGUCAUUCCUGCUUUCUGAUGGAGCUCAACAGAGCUAUCAUGGCUCUUGCCAAUGCUUUUUUCCUGCAUUCAUGGGGGAUAGCAGAGAAGGUAAAUGUAGUGAUUUCCUCUAAUGGCAGCAACUAUCUAACCUGCAAACCUGAAAGCCAGGAGGCAGAAGCAGUAUAAAAUGAUUUUUUUAGGAACUGUUUUUUUUUUUUUUUUUUUUUUUUUUUUCUGGCUGAGCCUGAUCAUCUCUGGAAUUGUGAUGUUCUGUGCAAUAUUUGGGUGUUUGAUUUUUUGCCUCCAACUUCAGCAUUCUUCAGGAGGUUGCUUAGCUGUUCAUUUUGACCCUCAGAAAGUGCUCAAAGAACUUGUCAGCAUCAGAGUAUCACCGCUCCCAUGUGUCAAGGAAAAAGCCCCAGAAGAGAGGUAAAACUCAUCAACAGGUUGCUGCCAGAGAAAUAGAAGCAUUCAUACUAUGUAUAAUGAUUUACUUUGUCUUUCUAGACAGUGGAUAUGUACUCUUCUGUUUUGGGUGGCAACACGUUGUUUCUGUCAAAGUCUGUGCUUCCCAACAUCCUAUUUUUUUCUGUUCACGAUCUGGAGUCCUGAAUCAGCUUUGCUGUACUGGUACAGAUUUAGGAUUCCAUUAUGAAGAUCAAUUUCAUCAUCUGGCUUUUAAGCUCUAGGAAAGUCAUUGACCAGUGCCUCGGUCAUUUGUUUCAAAUAUUCUUCAGGCAUAUAACUGAAGCAGAGAAAUCCCUUUUGCUAAUCAUAGAAUCAUUAAAUGGUUUGGGUUGGAAGGGAUCUUUAAAGACCUAGUCCAACUCCCCUGCCAGGAACAGGAAUGCCUCAUACUAGAUGAGGUUUCACAAAGCCCUGUGCAACCUGAUCUUGAAUGCUUCUUAUUUGGGCAACCUGUUCCCGUGCCUAAUCAGCCUUGUGGUAAAAAAAUGUCUUCUAAUAUCAAAUCUGAAUCUAGCCUCUUUCAAUUUGGAACCAUUACCCCUUGUCCUCUCCUUACAGAAUGUGGCAAAAAGCCUUUCACUGUCUAAUCUACCAGACUUACUUGGAGAUAUAGUGCUAUCCUGUACGUUUGCCUGCCUGCCUUUCUUCCUUCAUUCAUUCUUUCCAUUCUUCU
rnacentral:lncRNA from 1 species